rnacentral:rRNA from 1 species
AGAGCGAACGCUGGCGGCAGGCCUAACACAUGCAAGUCGAGCGCCGUAGCAAUACGGAGCGGCAGACGGGAGAGUAACACGUGGGAACGUGCCCUUUGGUUCGGAACAACACAGGGAAACUUGUGCUAAUACCGGAUAAGCCCUUACGGGGAAAGAUUUAUCGCCAAAGGAUCGGCCCGCGUCUGAUUAGCUAGUUGGUGAGGUAACGGCUCACCAAGGCGACGAUCAGUAGCUGGUCUGAGAGGAUGAUCAGCCUCACUGGGACUGAGACACGGCCCAGACUCCUACGGGAGGCAGCAGUGGGAAUAUUGGACAAUGGGCGCAAGCCUGAUCCAGCCAUGCCGCGUGGAUGAUGAAGGCCCUAGGGUUGUAAAGUCCUUUCGGCGGGGAAGAUAAUGACGGUACCCGCAGAAGAAGCCCCGGCUAACUUCGUGCCAGCAGCCGC